ACAGCUCAAAUUUGAAAUCUGGCCUCGGCCCGAGUUGUAAUUUGUAGAGGAUGCUUUAGGCGCGGCUCCUUCUGAGUGCCCUGGAACGGGACGCCACAGAGGGUGAGAGCCCCGUAUAGUUGGAAGCCUAGCCUGUGUAAAGCUCCUUCGACGAGUCGAGUAGUUUGGGAAUGCUGCUCAAAAUGGGAGGUAAAUUUCUUCUAAAGCUAAAUACCGGCCAGAGACCGAUAGCGCACAAGUAGAGUGAUCGAAAGAUGAAAAGCACUUUGAAAAGAGGGUUAAAUAGCACGUGAAAUUGUUGAAAGGGAAGCGCUUGUGACCAGACUUGCGCCGGGCUGAUCAUCCGGAGUUCUCUCCGGUGCACUCUGCCCGGCUCAGGCCAGCAUCGGUUCUCGCGGGGGGAUAAAGGCCUCGGGAACGUAGCUCCUCCGGGAGUGUUAUAGCCCGGGGCGUAAUGCCCUCGCGGGGACCGAGGUUCGCGCAUCUGCAAGGAUGCUGGCGUAAUG
rnacentral:rRNA from 1 species